AGGCCAGAGGUCUGAACUCGAGCGGUUGGCUGGCCACGCUCGCAGGGAAGGCUCUUGGGGAAGGCCCUUUCUCCACUCUCCCUGGCCCCUGGCAGCGGCUCCCUAGCCGUGGUGCUCCCCGGCUUGGACCUCGCUCGUCACGUGACCGUGCUCCUGCUCUACUCGUUCAAGGACACACUUGCUGGCCAGGACGUGGAAGCGGCCUAGAAGCGCGUCAGCAGAUGAAUGGACAGGGAAGCUGAGAUCCAUAUGCACAACGGAAUACCACGCAGCUAUAAGAAGGAGCGCGUCUGAGGCAGCUUCAGUGAGGGAGGUGAACCCAGAGCCUGUUCAGAGUGAAGUCAGAAAGAGGAAGGCAAACACCAUUUAUUCACACAAACAUACGGAAUCUAGAAAGACGGUACUGACGACCCUACAUGAAGGGCAGCAGAGGAGACGCGCAGACGGUUUCCCGGGAAGUCGAGUGCUUAAGAACCCGCCUCGCGAUGCAGAGGACACUUUGUCUCCACCCCUGGUCCAGGAAGACACCACCUGCUCAGAGUAACUGAGCCGCGCCCACAGCCACCCAGCCUGCGCUCUGAAGUCCGCGAACCCGCUACUG
ensembl:lncRNA